rnacentral:ribozyme from 1 species
CGAACAGAAAGGACACGGCUUCUCGAAGACGUUGAUGCGCCUGCCGCUAGGAGGCUGGGCGUGUGAGACAACGCUUCAAGCGACGCGAAACGCCGUUCCCGGCUGGAC